CAAUAGCGUAUAUUUAGGUUGUUGCAGUUAAAAAGCUCGUAGUUGGAUUUUGGGUCGGGGGCACCGGUCCGCCGUUCCGGUGUGCACUGGUGGCCCCUUCCUUUCUGCCGGGGACGUGCGUCGCACUUAAUUGGGUGGCGUUCGGAGUCGGCGUUGUUACUUUGAAAAAAUUAGAGUGUUCAAAGCAAGCCAUCGCUCUGAAUACAUUAGCAUGGAAUAACAUGAUGGGACUCCGGUCUUAUUUUGUUGGUUUCCGAGACUGGAGUAAUGAUUAAGAGGGACAGUCGGGGGCAUCCGUAUUUCAUUGUCAGAGGUGAAAUUCUUGGAUUUAUGAAAGACGAACUUCUGCGAAAGCAUUUGCCAAGGAUGUUUUCAUUAA
rnacentral:rRNA from 1 species